rnacentral:rRNA from 1 species
UACAGAGGGUGCGAGCGUUAAUCGGAAUUACUGGGCGUAAAGCGCACGUAGUCGGCUUUGCAAGUCGGUUGUGAAAUCCCCGGGCUCAACCUGGGAACUGCAUCCGAGACUGCAUUGCUAGAGUAUGGGAGAGGAAAGCGGAAUUUCUGGUGUAGCAGUGAAAUGCGCAGAUAUCAGGAGGAACACCGGUGGCGAAGGCGGGUCUCUGGGCAGUAACUGACGCUGAGGAGCGAAAGCGUGGGUAGCGAACAGG